CGGUAAUACGUAGGUGGCAGCGUUAUCCGGAUUUAUUGGGCGUAAAGAGAGUGCAGGCGGUUUUCUAAGUCUGAUGUGAAAGCUUUCGGCUUAACCGGAGAAGUGCAUCGGAAACUGGAUAACUUGAGUGCAGAAGAGGGUAGUGGAACUCCAUGUGUAGCGGUGGAAUGCGUAGAUAUAUGGAAGAACACCAGUGGCGAAGGCGGCUACCUGGUCUGCAACUGACGCUGAGACUCGAAAGCAUGGGUAGCGAACAGGAUUAGAUACCCUGGUAGUCCAUGCCGUAAACGAUGAGUGCUAGGUGUUGGAGGGUUUCCGCCCUUCAGUGCCGGAGCUAACGCAUUAAGCACUCCGCCUGGGGAGUACGACCGCAAGGUUGAAACUCAAAGGAAUUGACGGGGGCCCGCACAAGCGGUGGAGCAUGUGGUUUAAUUCGAAGCUACGCGAAGAACCUUACCAGGUCUUGACAUCUUGCGCCAACCCUAGAGAUAGGGCGUUUCCUUCGGGAACGCAAUGACAGGUGGUGCAUGGUCGUCGUCAGCUCGUGUCGUGAGAUGUUGGGUUAAGUCCCGCAACGAGCGCAACCCUUGUUACUAGUUGCCAGCAUUAAGUUGGGCACUCUAGUGAGACUGCCGGUGACAAACCGGAGGAAGGUGGGGACGACGUCAGAUCAUCAUGCCCCUUAUGACCUGGGCUACACACGUGCUACAAUGGACGGUACAACGAGUCGCGAACUCGCGAGGGCAAGCAAAUCUCUUAAAACCGUUCUCAGUUCGGACUGCAGGCUGCAACUCGCCUGCACGAAGUCGGAAUCGCUAGUAAUCGCGGAUCAGCAUGCCGCGGUGAAUACGUUCCCGGGCCUUGUACACACCGCCCGUCACACCAUGAGAGUUUGUAACACCCAAAGUCGGUGGGGUAACC
rnacentral:rRNA from 2 species